GGGCAUUUAACUGAAAAAUCCUCUGGUUGCUGUUUAGCAAAUCAGGUCUGAUGUAUCUCCCAUCAACCACUAUUCCACCUUUACGCUCACAACACACACACUUAUACAAACAAUCUGCAUUAUACACACACACUCGUACAAAAACACACUGCAUUAUAUACACACACACUCAUACAAACACACACUCUGCAUUAUAUACACACACACACUCAUACAAACACACACUCUGCAUUAUAUACACACACACUUAUACAAACACACACUCUGCAUUAUAUGCACACACACUUAUACAAAC